rnacentral:rRNA from 1 species
UACGGAAGGCAGCAGUGGGGAAUAUUGCACAAUGGGCGAAAGCCUGAUGCAGCUAUGCCGCGUGUAUGAAGAAGGCCUUAGGGUUGUAAAGUACUUUCAUCGGGGAGGAAAAAACAAAACUAAUAAUUUUAUUUCUUGACGUUACCCGAAAAAGAAGCACCGGCUAACUCCGUGCCAGCAGCCGCGGUAAUACGGAGGGUGCUAGCGUUAAUCAGAAUUACUGGGCGUAAAGAGCACGUAGGUGGUUUUUUUAAGUCAGAUGUGAAAUCCCUGAGCUUAACCUGGAACUGCAUUUUGAAACUGAAAUACUAGAGUAUCGUAGAGGGAGGUAGAAUUCUAGGUGUAGCGGUGAAAUGCGUAGAUAUCUGGAGGAAUACCUGUGGCGAAAGCGGGCCUCCUAAACGAAUACUGACACUGAGGUGCGAAAGCGUGGGGAGCAAACAGGGAUUAGAUACC